rnacentral:rRNA from 1 species
UACGGAGGGGGCUAGCGUUGUUCGGAAUUACUGGGCGUAAAGCGCACGUAGGCGGCUUUGUAAGUUAGAGGUGAAAGCCCGGGGCUCAACCCCGGAACUGCCAUUGAAACUGUUUAGCUUGAGGACGAGAGAGGUGAGUGGAAUUCCCAGUGUAGAGGUGAAAUUCGUAGAUAUUGGGAAGAACACCGGUGGCGAAGGCGGCUCACUGGCUCAUUUCUGACGCUCAGGCGCGAUAGCGUGGGGAUCAAACAGG